AUCCUACUUUGUUGGAUCCGAAGCAACUGGAUCCACACACUCAAAGACACUAUCUUUAAGCCUUACAUGCCGUAUGGAGAUAAGCCAGGGGCAUAUGGAGAAUCCACCCUACUCAGAGGCUCGAAGCCAGAGGAUUCCCAAGCGCCAGUCAACACUAACAGGAGCCCACAUCGCCCAGAUGAGGAAGGCCACCGCUGCCGCCAACGCCGACUACCGUGAGCAGCUUCCUGCUCCCCUGUCGUCGCCUCUGCGGUCGGGGCACUUUCCCCAAAGCGCUGGCCGCAGGAAUCUUUCCCCUUAAAUCGGGGAAGAAGUUUCUCUAAUCCAUUUUCGCGGUGAACGACCUCGGGCCAAGUUUGCUUUUGUUGCUGGUUCCCUAAGCUUAAUUGCAAGCAAAGUUAAUUUGAAAGAAAAUACAUGAUACAGCUCUAGGGCGAAUUCUAACGAGCCUUGGGCAAUGAGGGAAGAACGUGUCUAAUUAUCCACAGCCCGGGGACGCCUGCACACGACGCUGGCGGGUGCAGGGCCCGGAGAGGGACAAACGAUUUUUCUGUGUUCAUAAAGUGAAGAAGAAAAAAAUAAAAAAGGCACCUCCAGUCUCUGAGCCCCCAGAUGAGGGACUGGGAGGGGUUUGCAAAUUCCUAGGGUUAGAAGGUUCCAAGACAUACAGCGGAAUGUUCUCAGGAUCCCACAGUCACGCGGGCUAAGGGGGCCGCCCGCGACCCCGCUGUGGAUGAGGCCCCGGGCGGCGCGCACUGUCUCCGAGGUACUCGCUCCCCUGCGCGGCGCCCAUUCCCACCUGGCCCGGCCGGUGCGCGAGCUCUUGGUGUCGUCGGCCGGUGGGAGGCCGAGAAGGGCUGUCGCUCUGUCUUCAACGCCUUGAUCCCAACCCUCGCGCGUCUCCGUGUCCCUUGGGGCACCUGAAGCACACAACCAGGUCCCUCCCCGCAGCGUCCUCUCUCUCCUGAUGCUGACCCUCGCCUUUGGCACAAUCUUACCUGUCCCGCAAGUUGACAAGUAGAAUGGGGGACGAAAAUGUCCGCUCUUUCCCACCCUGUCUUUCUCCUUCCCGGGGCUUUAUCAUGACACUCCAGGAGGCUUUGUUACAAGGCAGCGCUUAUUUAAAGCCUUUCAGCCCUGCUAUGCUCUGCGCUUUGCAGUUUACAAAGCGCUUUUCACCUCUCCUCUCGUUUAACUUCAGGAAAAUUAUCUGAGGUAGCAGUCACAAAUUCCCAUUUCACAAAUGACGACCCGAGAGGAGAAGGGACUGGCUUAAGAUUAGUGGUGCUGUCAAAGCACUGGACUUGCUCAUUAGGAAACAGAGAAAGCCUCAACUCUGGCACUAAGGGCAAAAACCAGCCUUCUCCAGCCCCAGUCCCACGCCUGGGCUCUUCUGCAGCCCAGAACAAAACUCCUGGGUGGAGA
rnacentral:lncRNA from 10 species